CAAGUAUGACACUGGUAUGAUACGGAUAAGACAUUGAUAUAAUACGAGUAUGACACCCUAAAUGAAGUGUCCAUGCAUCCUAACUCAAUUGUUCCACACAAACUCAAACGGUAUCAACCAAGUUCUUGGCAUAAUAGGCAUCACAACUCCACUGCCUGUUUUCCAAGUUAAAGAUACCUGUUUCUAGAUCAUCUCAUGGGAUUUGAAACUCCUUUUUCCAUAUUAAUAUGCACACAUUAAUGCAGACAUUUCUUAAAAAGUACUUCAAUUCAAAGAAUAUCAUAUAAAAAUUCUAAUAUAUUGUUUUAAGAGAUAACUGCAACUUUGUUUUUUUAUUUUUUCCUUUUUUCUAGGAAGCAGCAUGAAUGAUACUUGCACAAAUCAUUGAGAAACAUGACAAAUAAUGAAAAUGAAGAUAUGUGAGGUUAAUUCACCUGUUGUUUGCAUACUCAUAAAGCCGUCCACGACUGGAGAAGAUGAGAAGAGCCACCUCUGCGUCGCACAGGACAGAAAGUUCACAAGCUUUCUUUAAGAGUCCAUUUCUCCUCUUGCAGAAGGAGACUUGGCGUUUUGUAUUGUUCUCAAUCCGCUUGAUCUCAAUCUUUCUUCUCCCCAUUGCACAACCUGAGAGGCCUAAACACAUUAGCAAGUGACAUCAUGUAGUUAUAUAUUACUUUCUUUAGCAAAAUCAGCAGGUUUUAUAUGUUCAAUAUGAGAAUAUUACACAAAUAUUGUCUUUGAUGUGUGUAAUUAAACAUUUCAACUAAUGUAGAGUUGAUUAGUUUGAAAGUUGCAACAGAAAAUUGAUGCUUGCCAAAAUGGGUUUGCAGAA